UUAAUAAGCGGAGGAAAAGAAACUAACUAGGAUUGGUCCAGUAACGGCGAGUGAAGCGCCAAUAGCCCUUCUUGUGAAUCGACUUUGUCGAAUUGUGGUUGCCUUUUCAUUCAGCUAGUGGACCAAGUCCCCUGGAACGGGGCAGCAGAGAGGGUGAGACUCCCGUUCGUCCACAUGCGUGAGAAUUGGCUUUGGAGUCGAGUUGUUUGGGAUUGCAGCUCUAAGUUGGUGGUAAAUUCCAUCAAAGGCUAAAUACUGGUGAGAGACCGAUAGCGUACAAGUACCGUGAGGGAAAGAUGCAAAGUCGCGCGAAAGCGCUGUCAAAGAGUACCUGAACUUGCUGAAACGGAAGCGAAGGAAACCAGUGCAAGCCAACCUGCACUUCCCCUGUUGCUUGCGAGAGGGGCGCUGCGGCUGGUGUUGUCCCAGUGGGCGAUGGACAAGGGAUGAUAAUGGCCUUGAAUGUUGCUGAGUGGGACGAAAUGGUUUUCUUUUUCCCG
rnacentral:rRNA from 1 species